rnacentral:rRNA from 1 species
AUUGAACGCUGGCGGCAGGCCUAACACAUGCAAGUCGAGCGGAUGAAGGGAGCUUGCUCCUGGAUUCAGCGGCGGACGGGUGAGUAAUGCCUAGGAAUCUGCCUGGUAGUGGGGGAUAACGUCCGGAAACGGGCGCUAAUACCGCAUACGACCUGAGGGAGAAAGUGGGGGGUCUUCGGACCUCACGCUAUCAGAUGAGCCUAGGUCGGAUUAGCUAGGUGGUGGGGUAAAGACUUACCAAGCGGACGAUCCGUAACUGGACUGAGCGGAGGAUUGUUCACACUGGAACUGGGACACGGGCCAGACUCCUACGGGAGGCAGCAGUGGGGAAUAUUGGACAAUGGGCGAAAGCCUGAUCCAGCCAUGCCACGUGUGUUGAGAAAGUCUUCGGAUUUGGAAGCACUUUAAGUUGGGAGGAAGGGCAGUAAGUUAAGACCUUGCUGUUUUGACGUUACCAGCAGAAUAAGCACCGGCUAACUUCGUG